rnacentral:siRNA from 1 species
AGUGACUUCAUCACUUUAUUUGG